AUGGUGCAGCCAGGAAAGCUGUGUAAGGAGCAGAAGUAUGAGCGGCAGCUGAGGUUGGCGGUGAUCAUGGGCAAGAAGCUUUAGAGUCUGCUCACGUUUGCCUAAUAAAUGCAACAGCCACAGGAACUGCAAUUCUUCAUUUAUAAUUAUUGAUGGAAAUCAUGUCAGUGGAGAAGAUGCCGGAAACAAAACUGAGCUCAAGCUGCCGUGGAAUUCUUACAAGAAUGAAAUAACGAUGUCUCUGGAAGUUUUGUGGAAAAGAACCCAGAAAACCUUCUAGACAAUGAUCCUUCAUUUUUCUGUAGGUUUACCAUUGUGGCUGCAACUCAGCUUCCAGAAAGUACGUGCCUUCGUUUAGGAGAUGUCCUAUGGAAUUCCCAAAUCCCUCUUUUGAUCUGCAGGACAUAUGGGUUAGUUGGUUAUAUGAGGAUCAUAAUAAGAGAACAUCCAAUAAUAGAAUCUCAUCCAGAUAAUGCAUUAGAGUAUCUACGACUAGACAAGCCACUUCCUGAACUGAGAGAACAUUUUCAGUCAUAUGAUGUGGAUCAUAUGGAAAAAAAGGACCAUAGCCGUAUUCCAUGGAUUGUGAUCAGAGCUAAAUAUUUAGCACAGUGGUAUAGUGAAACAAAUGGACAGACACCUAAACGUAUAAAGAAAAAGAGGACUUUGGAGAUUUGAUUAGACAAGGAAUUCUAAAGAAUGAAAAUGGGGCUUCAGAAGAUGAAGAGAAUUUUGAAGAAGCUAUUAAAAAUGUGAAUACAGCACUAAAUACAACUCGGAUCCCAAGCAGUAUUGAAGAUAUACUUAAUGAUGAUCGCUGCAUAAAUAUCACCAAACAGACUCUGUCAUUUUGGAUUUUAGCUCGUGCCUUAAAGGAAUUUGUGUCCAAGGAAGGUCAAGGAAAUUUGCCUGUUCGGGGCACAGUUCCUGAUAUGAUUGCAGAUUCAAGCAAAUAUAUAAAACUUCAAAAUGUUUGCCGUGAAAAAGCAAAGAAAGAUGCUGCUGCUGUGGGUAGUCAUGUAGCCAGACUGCUGCAGCCCAUUGGCAAGGCACCAGAGUCCAUUUCAGAGAAAGAAUUAAAAUUACUCUGCAGCAAUGCUGCAUUUCUUCGAGUGGUAAGAUGUCGAUCCUUAGCUGAAGAAUAUGGUUUGGACACAGUUAACAAGGAUGAAGUUAUUUCCAGCAUGGACAAUCCAGAUAAUGAAACAGUGUUGUACUUAAUGUUACGCGCUGUUGAUAGAUUUCAUAAACAACACGGUAGAUAUCCAGGGGUAUCUAACUGUCAAGUUGAAGAAGAUAUAGGAAAGAUAAAAGUCUUGUCUCACUGGCUUCCUUCAAGAAUAUGGUUUAUCUGUAAUGGUGAAAGAUGAUUAUGUUCAUGAAUUUUGCUGAUAUGGAGCUGCUGAGCCACAUACCAUUGCUGCAUUCCUGGGAGGAGCUGCUGCUGAACAGGCUAUCAAAAUACUCACCAAACAAUUUGUAAUUUUUAAUAAUACUUAGAUUUAUAGUGGCAUGGCACAAACUUCUGCAACUUUCCAGUUGUAG